AAAGCGUGCGCAGGCGGCUUUGCAAGACAGAUGUGAAAUCCCCGGGCUCAACCUGGGAACUGCAUUUGUGACUGCAAGGCUAGAGUACGGCAGAGGGGGAUGGAAUUCCGCGUGUAGCAGUGAAAUGCGUAGAUAUGCGGAGGAACACCGAUGGCGAAGGCAAUCCCCUGGGCCUGUACUGACGCUCAUGCACGAAAGCGUGGGGAGCAAACAGGAUUAGAUACCCGAGU
rnacentral:rRNA from 1 species